AUUGAACGCUGGCGGCAGGCCUAACACAUGCAAGUCGAACGGUAACAGGAAGAAGCUUGCUUCUUUGCUGACGAGUGGCGGACGGGUGAGUAAUGUAUGGGGAUCUGCCCGAUGGAGGGGGAUAACUACUGGAAACGGUAGCUAAUACCGCAUAAUGUCGCAAGACCAAAGAGGGGGACCUUAGGGCCUCUUACCAUCGGAUGAACCCAUAUGGGAUUAGCUAGUAGGUGGGGUAAUGGCUCACCUAGGCGACGAUCUCUAGCUGGUCUGAGAGGAUGACCAGCCACACUGGAACUGAGACACGGUCCAGACUCCUACGGGAGGCAGCAGUGGGGAAUAUUGCACAAUGGGGGCAACCCUGAUGCAGCCAUGCCGCGUGUGUGAAGAAGGCCUUAGGGUUGUAAAGCACUUUCAGUCGGGAGGAAGGGGCUGAGUUUAAUAGACUUGGUCAUUGACGUUACUGACAGAAGAAGCACCGGCUAACUCCGUGCCAGCAGCCGCGGUAAAAC
rnacentral:rRNA from 1 species